AGCCUACGGGACGCAGCAGUGAGGAAUAUUGGUCAAUGGGCGCAGGCCUGAACCAGCCAAGUCGCGUGAGGGAAGACUGCCCUAUGGGUUGUAAACCUCUUUUAUAAGGGAAGAAUAAUGACUACGUGUAGUCAGAUGCCCGUACCUUAUGAAUAAGCAUCGGCUAACUCCGUGCCAGCAGCCGCGGUAAUACGGAGGAUGCGAGCGUUAUCCGGAUUUAUUGGGUUUAAAGGGUGCGUAGGCGGAUUUGUAAGUCAGCGGUAAAAAUGCGGUGCUCAACGCCGUAUCGCCGUUGAAACUGCGGG
rnacentral:rRNA from 1 species